CAUAUUUUUCUGCUUUCCUCAGAUUGGUUUCCAAAGGCAUUUUUCACCUUGAUCCAAAUGAGGUUUUCUGCUGUUGAAGGCUAUUACAUUGGAAGCAAAAAUGGUCUUCAAAGGAUGUUCUGAUGGAGCUGAUUCCAUGCUUAUAGAUUGCAGGUAGCAGCAGGUGUGGAUGGUGCUUGGAACAUCUGCAUGGGUGUCUGGUGCUGCACCUGAGCUGCUGGCGAGGUGUCCUCUGGUUUUGGUCCCUGGGGUCGUGCUGGUACUGCUCUG